GGGAUGUAGCUGUGCCGGUGCGCAAGCGCAGUCCGCUCGGGCCUGGCGCUCUGGCCCACCCGCGGAGGUCGUGGUGGUCACCUGUGAGGCCUGCUCGUCCGCUCCACUGUGGGACCUGGGGUUACUGGGGUCCGCCUCGGCCGGGUAGGGUCGGAGACUGAGGAGAACCUGACCCGAACCCACCGAGCUCGCGGGGAACCUCCGAGGCCUUCGAAGGCGGUGCCGGGAGUCGAGGACACUGGUGCGAAGUGUGUGAUUCUACGUGUGUCUCGGUGUGCAGCUGAAUGCAGCGUUUCGAUGGAUGUGGUCUGGACCCACUGAUGCAUGGUGGCCAGAGCAGGGGCCACAACUUGAGUGACACACACAGGAUCUGAUGCUCUGAAGACCACAAGGUGGGUACCACGGCCCUGUGUGGAGGCCUCUCUGGGCCUGACAGCCGCCUGUGGAGACGGUUC
rnacentral:lncRNA from 1 species